rnacentral:misc_RNA from 1 species
GAUGAAGAACGUAGCGAAAUGCGAUACUUGGUGUGAAUUGCAGAAUCCCGUGAACCAUCGAGUCUUUGAACGCAAGUUGCGCCUCAAGCCAUUAGGUUGAGGGCACGUCUGCCUGGGCGUCACAUAUCGUUGCCUGAUGCCAGUUUCCUCGUGAUGGGUGACUGUGCAGGGCGAAUGAUGGCUUCCCGUGAGCAUUGUUGCCUCAUGGUUGGGUGAAAAUUGAGUCCUUGGUAGGGAGCGCCGUGAUAGAUGGUGGUUGAGUGACGAACGAGACCCAAUCAUGUGAGACCCCUACCGAAUUUGGCCUUCAUGACCCACAUGCGUCUUUGGAACGCUCAUGACGAGACCUCAGGUCAGGCGGGGCUACCCGCUGAGUUUAAGCAUAUCAAUAAGCGGAGGA